rnacentral:rRNA from 2 species
AAUACCGGUGGGGAAAGGCGGCCCCCCUGGCGAAGACUGACGCUCAGGUGCGAAAGCGUGGGGAGCAAACAGGAUUAGGAUACCCUGGUAGUCCACGCCGUAAACGAUGUCGACUUGGAGGUUGUUCCCUUGAGGAGUGGCUUCCGGAGCUAACGCGUUAAGUCGACCGCCUGGGGAGUACGGCCGCAAGGUUAAAACUCAAAUGAAUUGACGGGGGCCCGCACAAGCGGUGGAGCAUGUGGUUUAAUUCGAUGCAACGCGAAGAACCUUACCUACUCUUGACAUCCAGAGAACUUUCCAGAGAUGGAUUGGUGCCUUCGGGAACUCUGAGACAGGUGCUGCAUGGCUGUCGUCAGCUCGUGUUGUGAAAUGUUGGGUUAAGUCCCGCAACGAGCGCAACCCUUAUCCUUUGUUGCCAGCGAGUAAUGUCGGGAACUCAAAGGAGACUGCCGGUGAUAAACCGGAGGAAGGUGGGGAUGACGUCAAGUCAUCAUGGCCCUUACGAGUAGGGCUACACACGUGCUACAAUGGCGCAUACAAAGAGAAGCGACCUCGCGAGAGCAAGCGGACCUCACAAAGUGCGUCGUAGUCCGGAUCGGAGUCUGCA